rnacentral:rRNA from 1 species
AACGAACGCUGGCGGCAUGCCUAACACAUGCAAGUCGAACGGGAUCCGGACUUCGGUUCGGUGAGAGUGGCGGACGGGUGAGUAACACGUGGGAACCUGCCCAUUGGUCUGGGAUAACCGCGGGAAACUGCGGCUAAUACCGGAUGUACCCGCGAGGGGAAAGAUUUAUCGCCGAUGGAGGGGCCCGCGUCCGAUUAGGUAGUUGGUGGGGUAAUGGCCUACCAAGCCAACGAUCGGUAGCUGGUCUGAGAGGAUGAUCAGCCGCACUGGGACUGAGAUACGGCCCAGACUCCUACGGGAGGCAGCAGUGGGGAAUAUUGGACAAUGGGGGCAACCCUGAUCCAGCAAUGCCGCGUGAGUGAUGAAGGCCUUAGGGUUGUAAAGCUCUUUUGCCAGGGAAGAUGAUGACUGUACCUGGAGAAUAAGCCCCGGCUAACUUCGUGCCAGCCGCCGCAGUAAUAC